rnacentral:lncRNA from 1 species
UCCGCAAAGGUGGGACGUUUCCCUACCGAAAACCAUCAUGCUUGUUGUGAGAAGCUCCAGUUUGUGAGAAACAUAGACCCAAACCUGCCCUAAAAGGGACAAAAUUUGUACCACGGCAUGUUGAUGCCGCUCCAUGAUAGCAUGCCAAGUUUCAUGAAUUUAAGACGAGUUUUGGAUUUACUAGAACUUAAAAACCAGGCAUCCCAAUGUUUUGCCGGCAAUCAACAGUGCCCCGGUGUUUGAAAUUCAUUCCCAUUUCUUGCAUGGGACCUAAGCAUGCACCAAAGGACACAGAUUUGAUUUUUCAACCAAUUGAUAUGCACUGGAGCAGGUGCAUGUCAUUCAAAUUUGAAUUAUGCACAUAAAAUGCAUUGAAAACUCAGUUAAUGCAUAAAAAUGUCGAAACGAACCUCGAAAAAUCACAAAAAUUCACGCAACACUCCUGUUGUUCUUUGUUGACACGAGAAAAAAAUUUGAAAGCAAUAAGAGGCAAUGGAUGUCGUUUUGUCUCCAAAGGUGGGACGUUCCCUUCCGAAAACCAUCAUGCUUGUUGUGAGAAGCUCCGGUUUGUGAGAAGCAUAUACCCAAAUUUGCCCCAAAUGAGACAAAAUUUGUACCACGACAUGUUGAUGCCGCUCCAUGAUAGCAUGCCAAGUUUCUUGAAUUUCAGACGAGUUUUGGAUUUACUAGAAUUUAAAAACAAAGCAUCUCAAUGUUUUGCGGGCAAUAAACGGUGCCCGGUGUUUGAAAUUCAUUCCCAUUUCUUGCAUGGGACCUAAGCAUGCACCCAAGGAAAAAGAUUUGAUUUUUCAACCAAUUUAUAUGCACUGGAGCAUGUGCACGUAGUUCACAUUUGAAUUAUGCACAUAAAAUGCAUUGAAAACUCAGUUAAUGCAUAAAAAUUUCCAAACGAACCCCGUAAAAUCACAAAGAUUCACACAACACUCCUGUUGUUCUAUGUUGACACGAGUAAAAAAUUGAAAGCAAUAAUAAGCAAAGGAUAUCUUUUCGUCACCAAAGGUGGGACGUUUCCCUACCGAAAACCAUCAUCCUUGUUGUGAGAAGCUGCGGUUUGUGAGAAGCAUAUACCCAAACCUGCCCCAAAUGGGACAAAAUUUGUACCACGGCAUGUUGAUGCCGCUCCAUGAUAGCAUGCCAAGUUUCAUGAAUUUCAGACGAGUUUUGGAUUUACUAGAAUUUAAAAACCAGGCAUCUCAAUGUUUUGCCUGCAAUCAACGGUGCCCCAGUGUUUGAAAUUCAUUCCCAUUUCUUGCAUCUGACCUAAGCAUGCACCCAAGGACACAGAUUUGAUUUUUCUGCCAAUUUAUAUGGGCUGGAGCAUGUGCAUGUAGUUCAAAUUUGAAUUAUGCACAAAAAAUGCAUUGAAAACUCAGUUAACGCUUAAAAAUGUCCAAACGAACCCCGAAAAAUCACAAAGAUUGAAACAACACACCUGUUGUUCUAUGCUGACACGAGAAUAAAAAUUUGAAAGCAAUAUGAGGCAAUGGAUAUCGUUUCGUCCCCAAAGGUGGGACGUUCCCUACCGAAAACCAUCAUGCUUGUUGUGAGAAGCUCCGGUUUGUGAGAAGCAUAUACCCAAACCUGCUCCAAAUGGGACAAAAUUUGUACCACGGCAUGUUGAUGCCGCUCCAUGAUAGCAUGCCAAGUUUCAUGAAUUUUAGACAAGUUUUGGAUUUACAAGAAUUUAAAAACCAGGCAUCUCAAUGUUUUACCGGCAAUCAACGGUGCCUCGGUGUUUGAAAUUCAUUCCCAUUUCUUGCAUGGGACCUAAGUAUGCACCCAAGGACACAGAUUUGAUUUUUUUAACCAAUUUAUAUGCACUGGAGCAUGUGCAUGUAGUUCAAAUUUGAAUUAUGCACAAAAAUGCAUUGAAAACUCACUUAAUGCAUAAAAUGUCCGAACGAACGCCGAAAAAUCUCAAAAAUUCACACAACACUCCUGUUGUUAUAUGUUGACACGAGAAAAAAAUUUGAAAGCAAUAAGAGGCAAUGGAUAUCGUUUCGUCCCCAAAGGUGGGACAUUUCCCUACCGAAAACCAUCAUGCUUGUUGUGAGAAGCUCCGGUUUGUGAGAAGCAUAUACCCAAACCUGCCCCAAAUGGGACAAAAUUUGUACCACGGCAUGUUGAUGCUGCUCCAUGAUAGCAUGUCAAGUUUCAUGAAUUUCAGAAGAGUUUUGGAUUUACUAGAAUUUAAAAACCAGGCAUCUCAAUGUUUUGCCGGCAAUCAACGGUGCCCCGGUGUUUCAAAUUCAUUCCCGUUUCUUGCGUGGGACCUAAGCAUGCACCCAACGACACAGAUUUGAUUUUUGAACCAAUUUAUAUGCACUGGAGCAUGUGCAUGUAGUUCAAAUUUUAAUUAUGCAUAUAAAAUGCAUUGAAAACUCAGUUAAUGCCUAAAAAUGUCCAAACGAACCCCGAAAAAUCUCAAAGAUUCACACAACACUCCUGUUGUUCUAUGUUGACACGAGAAAUUUUUUUGAAAGCAAUAAGCGGCAAUGUAUAUCGUUUAGUCCCCAAAGGUGGGACGUUUCCCUACCGAAAACCAUCAUGCUUGUUGUGAGAAGCUCCGGUUUGUGAGAAGCAUAUACCCAAACCUGCCCCAAAUGGGACAAAAUUUGUACCACGGCAUGUUGAUGCCGCUCCAUGAUAGCAUGCCAAGUUUCAUGAAUUUCAGACGAGUAUUGGAUUUACUAGAAUUUAAAAACCAGGUAUCUCAAUGUUUUGCCAGCAAUCAAUGGUGCCCCGGUGUUUGAAAUUCAUUCCCAUUUCUUGCAUGGGACCUAAGCAUGCACCCAAGGACACAGAUUUGAUUUUUCAACCAAUUUAUAUGCACUGGAGCAUGUGCAUGUAGUUCAAAUUUGAAUUAUGCGCAUAAAAUGCAUCGAAAACUAAGUUAAUGCAUAAAAAUGUCCAAAUGAACCCAGAAAAACCACAAAAAUUCACACAAAACUCCUGUUGUUCUAUGUUGACAUGAGAAAAAAAUUGAAAGCAAUAAGAGGCAAUGGAUAUCGUUUCGCCCCCCAAAGGUGGGACGUUCCCUACCGAAAACCAUCAUGCUUGUUGUGAGAAGCUCCGGUUUGUGAGAAGCAUAUACCCAAACCUGCCCCAACUGGGACAAAAUUUGUACCAUGACAUGUUGAUGCCGCUCCAUGAUAGCAUGCCAAGUUUUAUGAAUUUCAGACGAGUUUUGGAUUUACUAGAAUUUAAAAACCAGGCAUCUCAAUGUUUUGCCUGCAAUCAACGGUGCCCCACUGUUCGAAAUUCAUUCCCAUUUCUUGCAUCUGACCUAAGCAUGCACCGAAGGACACAGAUUUGAUUUUUCAACCAAUUUAUAUGCACUCGAGCAUGUGCAUGUAGUUCAAAUUUUAAUUAUGCAUAUAAAAUGCAUUGAAAACUCAGUUAAUGCCUAAAAAUGUCCAAAUGAACCCCCAAAAAUCUCAAAGAUUCACACAACACUCCUGUUGUUCUAUGUUGACACGAGAAUUUUUUUUGAAAGCAAUAAGCGGCAAUGUAUAUCGUUUCGUCCCCAAAGGUGGGACGUUUCCCUACCGAAAACCAUCAUGCUUGUUGUGAGAAGCUCCGGUUUGUGAGAAGCAUAUACCCAAACCUGCCCCAAAUGGGACAAAAUUUGUACCACGGCAUGUCGAUGCCGCUCCAUGAUAGCAUGCCAAGUUUCAUGAAUUUCAGACGAGUAUUGGAUUUACUAGAAUUUAAAAACCAGCUAUCUCAAUGUUUUGCCAGCAAUCAAUGGUGCCCCGGUGUCUGAAAUUCAUUCCCAUUUCUUGCAUGGGACCUAAGCAUGCACCCAAGGACACAAAUUUGAUUUUUCAACCAAUUUAUAUGCACUGGAGCAUGUGCAUGUAGUUCAAAUUUGAAUUAUGCGCAUAAAAUGGAUCGAAAACUAAGUUAAUGCAUAAAAAUGUCCAAACGAACCCCGAAAAACCACAAAAAUUCACACAACACUCUUGUUGUUCUAUGUUGGCAUGAGAAAAAAAUUGAAAGCAAUAAGAGGCAAUGGAUAUCGUUUCGCCCCCAAAGGUGGGACGUUCCCUACCGAAAACCAUCAUGCUUGUUGUGAGAAGUUCCGGUUUGUGAGAAGCAUAUACCCAAACCUGCCCCAAAUGGGACAAAAUUUGUACCAUGACAUGUUGAUGCCGCUCCAUGAUAGCAAGCCAAGUUUCAUGAAUUUCAGACGAGUUUUGGAUUUACUAGAAUUUAAAAACCAGGCCUCUCAAUGUUUUGCCUGCAAUCAACGGUGCCCCAGUGUUUGAAAUUCAUUCCCAUUUCUUGCAUCUGACCUAAGCAUGCACCCAAGGACACAGAUUUGAUUUUUCAACCAAUUUAUAUGCACUGGAGCAUGUGCAUGUAGUUCAAAUUUUAUGCACAAAAAAUGCAUUGAAAACUUAGUUAACGCAUAAAAAUGUCCAAACGAACCCCGAAAAAUCACAAAGAUUCAAACAACACACCUAUUGUUCUAUGCUGACACGAGAAUAAAAAUUUGAAAGUAAUAUGAGGCAAUAGAUAUCGUUUCGUCCCCAAAGGUGGGACGUUCCCUACCGAAAACCAUCAUGCUUUUUGUGAGAAGCUCCGAUUUAUGAGAAGCAUAUACCCAAACCUGCUCCAAAUGGGACAAAAUUUGUACCACGGCAUGUUGAUGCCGCUCCAUGAUAGCAUGCCAAGUUUCAUGAAUUUUAGGCGAGUUUUGGAUUUACAAGAAUUUAAAAACCAGGCAUGUCAAUGUUUUGCCGGCAAUCAACGGUGCCUCGGUGUUUGAAAUUCAUUCCCAUUUCUUGCAUGGGACCUAAGUAUGCACCCAAGGACACAGAUUUGAUUUUUUUAACCAAUUUAUAUGCACUGGAGCAUGUGCAUGUAGUUCAAAUUUGAAUUAUGCACAAAAAUGCAUUGAAAACUCAGUUAAUGCAUAAAAUGUCCGAACGAACGCCAAAAAUCUCAAAAAUUCACACAACACUCCUGUUAUUAUAUGUUGACACGAGAAAAAAAUUUGAAAGCAAUAAGAGGCAAUGGAUAUCGUUUCGUCCCCAAAGGUGGGACAUUUCCCUACCGAAAACCAUCAUGCUUGUUGUGAGAAGCUCCGGUUUGUGAGAAGCAUAUACCCAAACCUGCCCCAAAUGGGACAAAAUUUGUACCACGGCAUGUUGAUGCUGCUCCAUGAUAGCAUGUCAAAUUUCAUGAAUUUCAAACGAGUUUUGGAUUUACUAGAAUUUAAAAACCAGGCAUCUCAAUGUUUUGCCGACAAUCAACGGUGCCCCGGUGUUUCAAAUUCAUUCCCGUUUCUUGCGUGGGACGUAAGCAUGCACCCAAGGACACAUAUUUGAUUUUUGAACCAAUUUAUAUGCACUGGAGCAUGUGCAUGUAGUUCAAAUUUUAAUUAUGUAUAUAAAAUGCAUUGAAAACUAAGUUAAUGCCUAAAAAUGUCCAAACGAACCCCGAAAAAUCUCAAAGAUUCACACAACACUCCUGUUGUUCUAUGUUGACACGAGAAAUUUUUUUGAAAGCAUUAAGCGGCAAUGUAUAUUGUUUCGUCCCCAAAGGUGGGACGUUUCCCUACCGAAAACCAUCAUGCUUGUUGUGAGAAGCUCCGGUUUGUGAGAAGCAUAUACCCAAACCUGCCCCAAAUGGGACAAAAUUUGUACCAUGGCAUGUUGAUGCCGCUCCAUAAUAGCAUGCCAAGUUUCAUGAAUUUCAGACGAGUAUUGGAUUUACUAGAAUUUAAAAACCAGGCAUCUCAAUGUUUUGCGUGCAAUCAACGGUGCCCCGGUGUCUGAAAUUCAUUCCCAUUUCUUGCAUGGGCCCUAAGCAUGCACCCAAGGACACAGAUUUGAUUUUUCAACCAAUUUAUAUGCACUGGAGCAUGUGCAUGUUGUUCAAAUUUGAAUUAUGCACAUAAAAUGCAUCGAAAACUAAGUUAAUGCAUAAAAAUGUCCAAACGAACCCCGAAAAUUCACACAACACUCCUGUUGUUCUAUGUUGACAUGAGAAAAAAAAUUGAAAGCAAUAAGAGGCAAUGGAUAUCGUUUCGUCCCCUACCGAAAACCAUCAAAGGUGGGACGUUUCCUAAGCAUGCACCCAAGGACACAUAUUUGAUUUUUCAACCAAGUUAUAUGCACUGGAGCAUGUGCAUGUCAUUCAAAUUUCAAUUAUGCACAUAAAAUGCAUUGCAAAAUCAGUUAAUGCAUAAAAAUAUCCAAACGAACCCCGAAAAAUCAGAAAAUUUCACACAACACUCCUGUUGUUCUAUGUUGACACGAGAAAAAAAUUUGAAAGCAAUAAGAGGCAAUGGAUAUCGUUUCGUCCCCAAUGGUGGGACGUUCCCUACGGAAAACCAUCAUGCUUGUUCUGAGAAGCUCCGGUUUGUGAGAAGCAUAUACCCAAACCUGCCCCAAAUGGGACAAAAUUUGUACCAUGGCAUGUUGAUGCCGCUCCAUGAUAGCAUACCAAUUUUCUUGAAUUGCAGACAUGUUUUGGAUGUACUAGAAUUUAAAAAGCAGGCAUCUCAAUGUUUUGCCGGCAAUCAACGGUGCCCCGGUGUUUGAAAUUCAUUCCCAUUUCUUGCAUGGGACCUAAGCAUGCACCCAAGGAUACAUAUUUGAUUUUUCUACCAAUUUAUAUGCACUGGAGCAUGUGCAUGUAGUUCAAAUUUGAAUUAUGCACAUAAAAUGCAUUGAAAACUCAAUUAAUGCAUAAAAAUGUCCAAACGAACCCCAAAAAAUCACAAAGAUUCACACAACACUCCAUUUGUUCUAUGUUAACAUGAGAAAAAAUUGAAAGCAAUAAGAGGCAAUGGAUAUCGUUUCGUCCCCAAAGAUGGGAUGUUUCCCUACCGAAAACAAUCAUGCUUGUAGUGAGAAGCUCCGGUUUGUGAGAAGCAUAUACCCAAACCUGCCCCAAAUGGGACAAAAUUUGUACCACGACAUGUUGAUGCCGCUCCAUGAUAGCAUGCCAAGUUUCAUGAAUUUCAGACGAGUUUUGGAUUUAUUAGAAUUUAAAAACCAGGCAUCUCAAUGUUUUGCCGGCAAUCAACAGUGCCCCGGUGUUUGAAAUUCAUUCCCAUUUCUUGCAUGGGACCUAAGCAUGCACCCAAGGACACAGAUUUCAUUUUUCAACCAAUUUAUAUGCACUGGAGCAUGUGCAUGUAGUUCAAAUUUGAAUUAUGCACAUAAAAUUUAUUGAAAACUCAGUUAAUGCAUAAAAAUGUCCAAACGAACCCCGAAAAAUCAAAAAGAUUCACACAACACUCCUGUUGUUCUAUGUUAACACGAGAAAAAAAAUUGAAAUCAAUAAGAGGCAAUGGAUAUCGUUUCGUCCCCUAAGAUGGGACGUUUCCCUACCGAAAACCAUCAUGCUUGUUGUGACAAGCUCCGGUUUGUGAGAAGCAUAUACCCAAACCUGCUCCAAAUGGGAAAAAUUGUACCACGACAUGUUGAUGCCGCUCCACGAUAGCGUGCCAAGUUUCAUGAAUUUCAGACGAGUUUUGGAUUUACUAGAAUUUAAAACCAAGCAUCUCAAUGUUUUGCCGGCAAUCAACGGUGCCCCGGUGUUUGAAAUUCAUUCCCAUUUCUUGCAUGGCCCUAAGCAUGCACCCAAGGACACAUAUUUAUUUUUUCAACUAAUUUAUAUGCACUAGAGCAUGUGCAUGUAGUUCAAAUUUUAAUUAUGCACACAAAAUGCAUUGCAAACUCAGUUAAUGCAUAAAAAUGUCCAAACGAACCCCGAAAAAUCACAAAAAUUCACACAACACUCGUGUUGUUCUAUGUUGACACGAGAGUAAAAAAUUUGAAAGCAAUAAGAGGCAAUGGAUAUCGUUUCAUCCCCAAAGGUGGGACGUUCCCUACCAAAAACCAUCAUGCAUGUUGUGAGAAGCUCCGGUUCGUGAGAAGCAUAUACCAAAACCUGCCCCAAAUGGGACAAAAUUUGUACCACGGCAUGUUGAUGCCGCUCCAUGAUAGCAUACCAAGUUUCAUGAAUUUCACACGAGUUUUGGAUUUACUAGAAUUUAAAAAUGAGGCAUCUCAAUGUUUUGCCGGCAAUCAACGGUGCCUCGGUGUUUGAAAUUCAUUCCCAUUUCUUGCAUGGGACCUAAGCACGCACCCAAGGACACAGAUUUGAUUUUUCAACCAACUUAUAUGCACUGGAGCAUGUGCAUGUAGUUCAAAUUUGAAUUAUGCACAUAAAAUAAAUCAAAAACUCAGUUAAUGCAUAAAAAUGUCCAAACGAACCUCGAAAAAUCACAAAAAUUCAAACAACACUCCUGUUUUUCUAUGUUGACACAAGAAAAAAAAUAAAGCAAUAAGAGGCAAUCGAUAUCGUUUCGUCCCCGAAGGUGGGAUGUUUCCCUAUCGAAAACCAUCAUGCUUGUUGUGAGAGGCUCCGGUUUGUGAGAAGCAUAUACCCAAACCUACCCCAAAUGGGACAAAGUUUCUACCACGGCAUGUUGAUGCCGCUCCAUGAUAGCAUGCCAAGUUUCAUGAAUUUCAGACGAGUUUUGGAUUUACUAGAACUUAAAAACUAGGUAUCUCAAUGUUUUGCCGGCAAUCAACGGUGCCCCGGUGUUUGUAAUUCAUUCCCAUUUCUUGUAUGGGACCUAAGCAUGCACCCAAGGACACAUAUUUGAUUUUUCAACCAAUUUAUAUGCACUGGAGAAUGUGCAUGUUGUUCAAAUUUGAAUUAUGUGCAUAAAAUGCAUCGAAAACUCAGUUAAUGCAUAAAAAUGUCCAAACGAACCCCAAAAAAUCACAAAAAUUCACACAACACUCCUGUUGUUCUAUGAUGACAUCAGAAAUUUUUUUAAACAAUAAGAGGCAAUGGAUAUCGUUUCGUCCCCAAAGGUGGGACGUUUCCCUACCGAAAACCAUCAUGCUUGUUGUGACAAGCUCCGGUUUGUGAGAAGCAUAUACCCAAACCUGCCCCAAAUGGGACAAAAUUUGUACCACGGCAUGUUGAUGCCGCACCAUGAUAGCAUGCAAAGUUUCAUGAAUUUCGAACGAGUUUUGGAUUUACUAGAAUUUAAAAACGAGGCAUCUCAAUGUUUUGCCGGCAAUCAAUGGUGCACCGGUGUAUGAAAUUCAUUCCCAUUUAUUGCAUGGGACCUAAGCAUGCACCCAAGGACACAGAUUUGAUUUUUCAACCAAUUAAUAUGCACUGGAGCAUGUGCAUGUAGUUCAAAUUUGAAUUAUGCACAUAAAAUGCAUUGAAAACUCGGUUAAUGCAUAAAAAUGUCCAAUCGAACCACGAAAAAUCUCAAAAAUUCACACAAUACUCCUGUUGUUCUAUGUUGACACAAGAAAAAAAUUUGAAAGCAAUAAGAGGCAAUGGAUAUCGUUUCAUCCUCAAAGGUGGGACGUUUCCCUACCGAAAACCAUCAUGCUUGUUGUGAGAAGCACCGGCUUGUGAGAAGCAUAUACCCAAACCUGCCCCAAAUGGGAAAAAAUUUGUACCACGGCAUGUCGAUGCCGCUCCAUGAUAGCAUGCAAAGUUUCAUGAAUUUCAGACGAGUUUUGGAUUUACUAGAAUUAAAAAACCAGGCAUCUCAAUGUUUUGCCGGCAAUCAACAGUGCCCCGGUGUUUGAAAUUCAUUCCCAUUUCUUGCAUGGGACCUAAGCAUGCACCCAAGGACACAUAUUUGACUUUUCAACCAAGUUAUAUGCACUGGAGCAUGUGCAUGUAGUUCAAAUUUGAAUUAUGCACAUAAAAUGCAUCGAUAACUCAGUUAAUGCAUAAAAAUGUCAAAACGAACCCCGAAAAAUCACAAAACUUCACACAACACUCCUGUUGUUCUAUGUUGACACGAGAAAUUUUUUUGAAAGCAUUAAGCGGCAAUGUAUAUUGUUUCGUCCCCAAAGGUGGGACGUUUCCCUACCGAAAACCAUCAUGCUUGUUGUGAGAAGCUCCGGUUUGUGAGAAGCAUAUACCCAAACCUGCCCCAAAUGGGACAAAAUUUGUACCACGGCAUGUUGAUGCCGCUCCAUAAUAGCAUGCCAAGUUUCAUGAAUUUCAGACGAGUAUUGGAUUUACUAGAAUUUAAAAACCAGGCAUCUCAAUGUUUUGCCUGCAAUCAACGGUGCCCCGGUGUUUGAAAUUCAUUCCCAUUUCUUGCAUGGGUCCUAAGCAUGCACCCAAGGACACAGAUUUGAUUUUUCAACCAAUUUAUAUGCACUGGAGCAUGUGCAUGUUGUUCAAAUUUGAAUUAUGCACAUAAAAUGCAUCGAAAACUAAGUUAAUGCACAAAAAUGUCCAAACGAACCCCGAAAAUUCACACAACACUCCUGUUGUUCUAUGUUGACAUGAGAAAAAAAAUUGAAAGCAAUAAGAGGCAAUGGAUAUCGUUUCGUCCCCUACCGAAAACCAUCAAAGGUGGGACGUUUCCUAAGCAUGCACCCAAGGACACAUAUUUGAUUUUUCAACCAAUUUAUAUGCACUGGAGCAUGUGCAUGUCAUUCAAAUUUCAAUUAUGCACAUAAAAUGCAUUGCAAACUCAGUUAAUGCAUAAAAAUAUCGAAACGAACCCCGAAAAAUCAGAAAAUUUCACACAACACUCCUGUUGUUCUAUGUUGACACGAGAAAAAAAUUUGAAAGCAAUAAGAGGCAAUGGAUAUCGUUUCGUCCCCAAAGGUGGGACGUUCCCUACGGAAAACCAUCAUGCUUGUUCUGAGAAGCUCCGGUUUGUGAGAAGCAUAUACCCAAACCUGCCCCAAAUGGGACAAAAUUUGUACCAUGGCAUGUUGAUGCCGCUCCAUGAUAGCAUACCAAUUUUCUUGAAUUGCAGACAUGUUUUGGAUGUACUAGAAUUUAAAAAGCAGGCAUCUCAAUGUUUUGCCGGCAAUCAACGGUGCCCCGGUGUUUGAAAUUCAUUCCCAUUUCUUGCAUGGGACCUAAGCAUGCACCCAAGGAUACAUAUUUGAUUUUUCAACCAAUUUAUAUGCACUGGAGCAUGUGCAUGUAGUUCAAAUUUGAAUUAUGCACAUAAAAUGCAUUGAAAACUCAAUUAAUGCAUAAAAAUGUCCAAACGAACCCCAAAAAAUCACAAAGAUUCACACAACACUCCAUUUGUUCUAUGUUAACAUGAGAAAAAAUUGAAAGCAAUAAGAGGCAAUGGAUAUCGUUUCGUCCCCAAAGAUGGGAUGUUUCCCUACCGAAAACAAUCAUGCUUGUAGUGAGAAGCUCCGGUUUGUGAGAAGCAUAUACCCAAACCUGCCCCAAAUGGGACAAAAUUUGUACCACGGCAUGUUGAUGCCGCUCCAUGAUUUCAGACGAGUUUCAUGAAUUUCAGACGAGUUUUGGAUUUAUUAGAAUUUAAAAACCAGGCAUCUCAAUGUUUUGCCGGCAAUCAACAGUGCCCCGGUGUUUGAAAUUCAUUCCCAUUUCUUGCAUGGGACCUAAGCAUGCACCCAAGGACACAGAUUUCAUUUUUCAACCAAUUUAUAUGCACUGGAGCAUGUGCAUGUAGUUCAAAUUUGAAUUAUGCACAUAAAAUUUAUUGAAAACUCAGUUAAUGCAUAAAAAUGUCCAAACGAACCCCGAAAAAUCAAAAAGAUUCACACAACACUCCUGUUGUUCUAUGUUAACACGAGAAAAAAAUUGAAAUCAAUAAGAGGCAAUGGAUAUCAUUUCGUCCCCUAAGAUGGGACGUUUCCCUACCGAAAACCAUCAUGCUUGUUGUGACAAGCUCCGGUUUGUGAGAAGCAUAUACCCAAACCUGCUCCAAAUGGGAAAAAAUUGUACCACGACAUGUUGUUGCCGCUCCAUGAUAGCGUGCCAAGUUUCAUGAAUUUCAGACGAGUUUUGGAUUUACUAGAAUUUAAAACCAGGCAUCUCAAUGUUUUGCCGGCAAUCAACGGUGCCCCGGUGUUUGAAAUUCAUUCCCAUUUCUUGCAUGGCCCUAAGCAUGCACCCAAGGACACAUAUUUAAUUUUUCAACCAAUUUAUAUGCACUGGAGCAUGUGCAUGUAGUUCAAAUUUUAAUUAUGCACACAAAAUGCAUUGCAAACUCAGUUAAUGCAUAAAAAUGUCCAGACGAACCCCGAAAAAUCACAAAAAUUCACACAACACUCGUGUUGUUCUAUGUUGACACGAGAGUAAAAAAUUUGAAAGCAAUAAGAGGCAAUGGAUAUCGUUUCAUCCCCAAAGGUGGGACGUUCCCUACCAAAAACCAUCAUGCAUGUUGUGAGAAGCUCCGGUUCGUGAGAAGCAUAUACCCAAACCUGCCCCAAAUGGGACAAAAUUUGUACCACGGCAUGUUGAUGCCGCUCCAUGUUAGCAUACCAAGUUUCAUGAAUUUCACACGAGUUUUGGAUUUACUAGAAUUUAAAAAUGAGGCAUCUCAAUGUUUUGCCGGCAAUCAACGGUGCCUCGGUGUUUGAAAUUCAUUCCCAUUUCUUGCAUGGGACCUAAGCACGCACCCAAGGACACAGAUUUGAUUUUUCAACCAACUUAUAUGCACUGGAGCUUGUGCAUGUAGUUCAAAUUUGAAUUAUGCACAUAAAAUAAAUCAAAAACUCAGUUAAUGCAUAAAAAUGUCCAAACGAACCUCGAAAAAUCACAAAAAUUCAAACAACACUCCUGUUUUUCUAUGUUGACACAAGAAAAAAAAUAAAGCAAUAAGAGGCAAUCGAUAUCGUUUCGUCCCCGAAGGUGGGAUGUUUCCCUACCGAAAACCAUCAUGCUUGUUGUGAGAGGCUCCGGUUUGUGAGAAGCAUAUACCCAAACCUACCCCAAAUGGGACAAAGUUUCUACCACGGCAUGUUGAUGCCGCUCCAUGAUAGCAUGCCAAGUUUCAUGAAUCUCAAUGUUUUGCCGGCAAUCAAUGGUGCCCCGGUGUUUGUAAUUCAUUACCAUUUCUUGUAUGGGACCUAAGCAUGCACCCAAGGACACAUAUUUGAUUUUUAGACCAAUUUAUAUGCACUGGAGAAUGUGCAUGUUGUUCAAAUUUGAAUUAUGUGCAUAAAAUGCAUCGAAAACUCAGUUAAUGCAUAAAAAUGUCCAAACGAACCCCAAAAAAUCACAAAAAUUCACACAACACUCCUGUUGUUCUAUGAUGACAUGAGAAUUUUUUUUAAACAAUAAGAGGCAAUGGAUAUCGUUUCGUCCCCAAAGGUGGGACGUUUCCCUACCGAAAACCAUCAUGCUUGUUGUGACAAGCUCCGGUUUGUGAGAAGCAUAUACCCAAACCUGCCCCAAAUGGGACAAAAUUUGUACCACGGCAUGUUGAUGCCGCUCCAUGAUAGCAUGCCAAGUUUCAUGAAUUUCGAACGAGUUUUGGAUUUACUAGAAUUUAAAAACGAGGCAUCUCAAUGUUUUGCCGGCAAUCAAUGGUGCACCGGUGUAUGAAAUUCAUUCCCAUUUAUUGCAUGGGACCUAAGCAUGCACCCAAGGACACAGAUUUGAUUUUUCAACCAAUUAAUAUGCACUUGAGCAUGUGCAUGUAGUUCAAAUUUGAAUUAUGCACAUAAAAUGCAUUGAAAACUCGGUUAAUGCAUAAAAAUGUCCAAUCGAACCACGAAAAAUCUCAAAAAUUCACACAACACUCCUGUUGUUCUAUGUUGACACAAGAAAAAAAUUUGAAAGCAAUAAGAGGCAAUGGAUAUCGUUUCAUCCUCAAAGGUGGGACGUUUCCCUACCGAAAACCAUCAUGCUUGUUGUGAGAAGCACCGGCUUGUGAGAAGCAUAUACCCAAACCUGCCCCAAAUGGGAAAAAAUUUGUACCACGGCAUGUCGAUGCCGCUCCAUGAUAGCAUGCAAAGUUUCAUGAAUUUCAGACGAGUUUUGGAUUUACUAGAAUUAAAAAACCAGGCAUCUCAAUGUUUUGCCGGCAAUCAACGGUGCCCCGGUGUUUGAAAUUCAUUCCCAUUUCUUGCAUGGGACCUAAGCAUGCACCCAAGGACACAUAUUUGACUUUUCAACCAAGUUAUAUGCACUGGAGCAUGUGCAUGUAGUUCAAAUUUGAAUUAUGCACAUAAAAUGCAUCGAUAACUCAGUUAAUGCAUAAAAAUGUCAAAACGAAUCCCGAAAAAUCACAAAACUUCACACAACACUCCUGUUGUUCUAUGUUGACACGAGAUAAAAAUUGAAAGCAAUAAGAGGCAAUGGAUAUCGUUUCGUCCCCAAAGGUGGGACGUUUCCCUACCGAAAACCAUCAUGCUUGUUGUGAGAAGCUCCGGUUUGUGAGAAGCAUAUACCCAAACCUGACCCAAAUGGGACAAAAUUUGUACCACGGCAUGUUGAUGCCACUCCAUGAUAGCAUGCCAAGUUUCAUUAAUUUCGGACAAGUUUUGGAUUUACUAGAAUUUAAAAACCAGGUAUCUCAAUGUUUUACCAGAUAUCAAUGGUGCCCCAGUGUUUGAAAUUCAUUCCCAUUUCUUGAAUAGGACCUAAGCAUGCAGCCAGGGACACAUAUUUGAUUUUUGAACCAAUUUAUAUGCACUCGAGCAUGUGCAUGUAGUUCAAAUUUGAAUUAUGCACAUAAAAUGCAUCGAAAACUUAGUUAAUGCAUAAAAAUGUCCAAACGAACCCCAAAAAAUCUCCGAGAUUCACACAACACUCCUGUCGUUCUAUGUUGACACGAGAAAAAAAUUGAAAGCAAUAAUAGGCAAUAGAUAUCAUUUCGUCCCCAAAGGUGGGACGUUCCCUACCGAAAACCAUCAUGCUUGUUGUGAGAAGCUCCGGUUUGUGAGAAGCAUAUACCCAAACCUGCCCCAAAUAGGACAAAGGUUGUACCACGGCAUGUUGGUGCCGCUCCAUGAUAGCAUGCCAAGUUUCAUGAAUUUCAGACGAGUUUUGGAUUUACCAGAAUUUAAAAACCAGGCAUCUCAAUGUUUUGCCGGCAAUCAACGGUGCACCGGUGUUUGAAAUUCAUUCCCGUUUCUUGCAUGGGACCUAAGCAUGCACCCAAGGACACAGAUUUUAUUUUUUAACCAAUUUAUAUGCACUGGAGCAUGUGCAUGUAGUUCAAUUUUGAAUUAUGCACAUAAAAUGCAUCGAAAACUCAGUUAAUGCAUAAACAUGUCCAAACGAACCCCGAAAAAUCACAAAAAUUCACACAACACUCCUGUUGUUCUAUGUUGACACGAGAAAAAAAUUGAAAGCAAUAAGAGGCAAUGGAUAUCAUUUCGUCCCCUACCGAAAACCAUCAAAGGUGGGACGUUCCCUAAGCAUGCACCCAAGGAUACAUAUUUGAUUUUUCAACCAAUUUAUAUGCACUAGAGCAUGUGCAUGUAGUUCAAAUUUUAAUUAUGCACAUAAAAUGCAUCGAAAACUCGGUUAAUGCAUGAAAAUGUCCAAACGAACCCUGAAAAAUCACAAAAAUUCACACAACACUCCUGUUGUUCUAUGUUUCCAUGAGAAAAAAAAUUGAAAGCAAUAAGAGGCAAUGGAUAAUGUUUCGUCCCCAAAGGUGGUAUGUUUCAUUACCGAAAACCAUCAUGCUUGUUUUGAGAAGCUCCGGUUUGUGAGAAGCAUAUACCCAAACCUGCCCCAAAUGGGACAAAAUUUGUACCACAGCAUGUUGAUGCCGCUCCAUGAUAGCAUGCCAAGUUCAUGAAUUUUAGACGAGUUUUGGAUGUACUAGAAUUUAAAAACGAGGGAUCUCAAUGUUUUGCCGGCAAUCAACGAUGCCCCGGUGUUUGAAAUUCAUUCCCAUUUCUUGCAUGGGACCUAAGCAUGCACCCAAGGACACCGAUUUGAUUUUUCAACCAAUUUAUAUGCACUCGAGAAUUUGCAUGUAGUUCAAAUUUGAAUUAUGCACAUAAAAUGCAUCGAAAACUCAGUUAAUGCAUAAAAAUAUCCAAACGAACCCCAAAAAAUCACAAAAAUUCACACAACACUCCUAUUGUUCUAUGUUGACACAAGAAAAAAAUUUGAAAGCAAUAAGAGGCAAUGGAUAUCGUUUCGUCCCCAAAGGUGGGACGUUCCCUACCGAAAACCAUCAUGCUUGUUGUGAGAAGCUCCGGUUUGUGAGAAGCAUAUACCCAAACCUGCCCCAAAUGGGACAAAAUUUGUACCACGGCAUGUUGAUGCCGCUCCAUGAUAGCAUGCCAAGUUUCAUGAAUUUUGGACAAGUUUUGGAUUUACUAGAAUUUAAAACCAGGCAUCUCAAUGUUUUGCCGGCAAUCAACGGCGCCCUGAUGUUUGAAAUUCAUUCCUAUUUCUUGCAUGUAACAUCCCAAAAUUUCAAUUUGGAAUGUUAUACAUAGGUCAUUCAUGCAUAUCAUAUUUUAUUGCAUUUUGUUUCGCAAUCCUCGAAAUUCUAUGCAACUCGAGGACCCUCGGAGAGAGUUGGGGAUUUCACGUUUCUCAUAUUUGAAUUUUAUCAAAUAUUGAAACAAGGAUCAUUUUGGUUUUAAUUUAUUUUCUCUCCAAAAAUAUUUCAUAUUAAAAUAUAUGAGAGGAGAUAAUAUGACUUCUCCAAAAUAAAUUAAAUAUUGGAGGAAAAAUAUUAAAAUCAAAUAUUUGAUGUUAUUUGGAUUUUAUUGCUAUUUUAUUUGAAUUUGGAAAAAUAUGCGUUUUUCAAAAUUGCAUUAUAGGCCCAAAUAAAUGUUCACCUUGUGUGGCAUAUUUUUAGAGGACGGGGAAAAUUUAUUUCGGGAUUUUUGGAGUCGGCUUAGUAUUUCUUUUCUUUCUUUUUCUGCAUGUCGAAAUAUUAAAAAAAAAAGAAACCGUCUCCGGGCCGUACCCGACCGGGACUACGCCCGGGGGGCUUUAUAGGCCGGGCCCCCCUGCCCCACAGCCCACCACCGCCGCCCAGCCCACCCGCGCCGCCGAAACCCUAGCCGCCGCCGCUAGCGCCACCCGCGCCGCCGAAACCCUAGCGCUGCUCCUGCCGUGCGCUGCCGACGGAACCGCCGCCUGCCGGAUCUCGUCGCCGUUGACCACCGUUUGACCGGUCGGUUUUUCUUCGGUUAAACCCCGGUUUUUUUAUUUUUCCGGUUUAUUUCGUUAGAUCGAUUUUUCCAUUGGUUUAGUUAUUUUACGGACGUUCGUCCGUUUGUUCGUUUAAACGAACACCGUUCACCCGUUAGUCACCGACAGCGAACGUUCGUUCGUUAGCCUGUUCGUCAGUUUUUCUUUUUCUCGGGUUUUUCGCGUUUAUUUCCGAUCGCGAUUUCUGAUCCGAUUUUCGUUUUAGUUUAUCUUUUCGCUCGUUUAUCGGAAUCAGGCGAUUCAAGCGCCUAGAUCUUCGUCUCGAAGCCCACUUUCUGUUUAACCAACUUGAACAAGAUUUUGAUACUGUAAAAUUUGACUUUAGUCCAGAUUAGUAAUUUGAUUUUGUUUCUUUCGCCGUUUGAGUUUCGUUGCUCCGUUUGAUUUGAUUCUUUUUGCAAACCGGAGUUCUUAAGUUGAACUUUCUGGUUUGAUCUUCUUAUUUGAGUUUUAGCCGUGCAUCUUUGCUUGAUUGCUUAUGUAUGUUAUUGUUUGUUUGCGAUAGAAUUCCCGGAGUGCGAAGCGUGCUACUACGAGUCACUAGGUUUUGCGGAUCGUCAGCAAGGCAAGUAACACAUUGAUCAUAUCCCUUUAUUACCUAGUUUUUAUGCAUUAGCUACAACCCUCACACAUUGCAUGAGUAGGAUCUCUUAACAUGUGGGUUUGGGAAGUAGAUGAUGAGGUAGAACCUAUUACCUGUUUUAAUAUCAAACCCUUGGGAGUUACUUCUACGUAUUGCUUAUAUUGCUAUGCUAUGCUCGUAGACGUGGAUUGGGUUUGAGUGUAUUCCAUGAUAGAUGUGAGAUUGUUAAUUAAUGGUUCAACUUAAGGUGGCGACCUUAGUACACAUCUGGGUGGAUUGCUUGUUGGGCACCUGGAGAAUCCAGUGUUGUCCUAGGAUAUCCCGGAGUACCCGUGUGAUCAUCCUACGGUCCGCCACCCAGGCUCAAAGGGAUCAAAAGAUUAUUCAUGCUAGAAACUUCCGUGUGCAGCCACAAGCCAUUAUGGGCUCUGGCAUAGUUGAGUAUGUUGUGUGACCUCUUUCAGUGGUGGGCUAGAAGAUGUAGAGGGAAAGUAGGUGUAGCUGUCCACCCAGAGUAAAGAGUUAAUGCUUCUGAAAGACUGUGUCUCGGUCAUCCAUUUCUCAAACACCAUGUAGUGCGAGAAAACCAACGGAGGAGAUCGAGUCUUGUGGGGAAAAGUGCGCAAACCUCUGCAGAGUGUAUAAACUAAUCAUGGUUAGCCGUGUCCCCGGUUAUGGACAUCUUGAGUAUCUAGUACUUGGAUUAUCCUAUUGUAUCUCAUCACUCUAAUUUAAUUUGUUGGGUUGAUAAUUACCUUUAAUUGGGAUUGAGUUGGAGGAGCCUUCUCAAUGACGUUUCAACUACCAUGAUAGUUAAAUAAAACUUAUUCCUUUGUUGUAGGGAAAAAUUGGCUUUUCGCAAAAAUCAUAUAAUCAUAGAGCCUCCACCAGCCAUAUAUGCAUGUAGUGACAGCAUUUAUCUGUUCAUUGCUCUACUGUGUUAUAUUGCCAGCAUAUUCCAUGUGCUGGCCCAUUUUCGGGCUGCAACGUCUUAUGUUGCAGACUUUUCAGACGACGAGUAAAGGUGCGAUAGGUCGUUAUCAUGCACUCAGCUAUGCCGUUGGAGUUGAUGGACUCACUUUAUCUUCCAAGUCUUCCGCUGUUAUCGUGUUAGAUGGCCUUAAGUCAUAUUUAUUGUAAUAAGUUCUCUUUUGGAGACAUUCGAUGUAAGAAGUGUGUUAUUGCUACUCUGUUAUAAAUCCUUCGAGUACUGUGUAUGUCAGCAUUAGCGAUCCAGGGAUGACACUGAAGCACAAAGACUUGACCGUUUGAGGUCGGGUCGCUACAAGAUGGUAUCAGAGCACACGCUGAAUGUAGGACACGACCACUAAGAAAAAGCCAUAGGUCACUCUUCUCUACUCAUUUCUGACUCCUCUCCAUUUUCUACUCUUUAGGAUGGCGGACUCGAGGAACAAGUUUGCACAACCGGAUGAAGACACCCCAUUUGGACGACACUUGAAGGAAGUCACUAGAUACCUGAACAUUGGAAUACCAAGCUUCACCGGAACCUACAACGCCACUUUACCAGAAGAGGAACGCUGGAUGAUUCAAGUUCAAGUUCUAGGAAGGACAUUCACGCCAGUCACGGAGCCCAUAGAGUUUUCCAAUGCACCCACCUGGAGUCUAGGCAAGAGCAUGGCAUCCCACAUCACCAUGGGACGCAUUGGAAAAGUUUACUAGAAGGAUCUCAAGGAUACUACCUACCAGAUUUGUGGGCGCCGAGAUGAGCAAUGGGAGAUAGUCAGCACCAGGAAGGACAGGUCCAUUGCAGCAUUCAUCCAGGAGUUAAACCAGCACAUUCGACGCCAGGAGAACCAGAUGUGCGCAGGCAUGAUAGAUUUGAAGAAAGCAAUGACAAGGAUCACUGAGUUAGAGGAGGAACUCAAGUCUACACGCGAUGGAUAUGAGGAGGAAAUCGCGACACUAUUGGAGAAGAACGAUGACCUGAUAAAGAAGAUCUGAGUAUUCAUGGGAGAUCCCGCGCCAGGAAGAGAGGACGACGAUUCCACCUGCCCGGAGAACUACAUCAUCAUCGACGACACCGACUCCGACCCCCAUGAUAGUGAUGAUGACUUUGAAGACAAAGCUGGAGCGGACAUCAUGGAGUCUUCCACCGAUCAAAACUUCUAGUAGACCACCAUAUGAUCAGUAGUAUUUCCCCCAUGUAAAUAGUAUAGUCUGAGCACUGUAACGAUAGUUCUAGACCGUUUGUAUGCCCUUGCUUGCUUGAUUGAGUGAUAUGAUUGUGUUUGUCUCAUGUGCAUAUGGGUAGUGUUUUCUCACUAGACCUCUUUUCUAUUCUAAUCUCUUCCCUCUAAAAUCCCUCAGAUGCCUCCGAGACAUGACACCGGAUUUGUCUUCCCACCGGAGAUCACCCAGUUGAUCCAGCAGCAGAAUGCCUUGAUGCAGAUAUUAUUCCAGAACCAAGGCAACAACAACAACAACAACCCUCCUCCAGUUGACAACUUAGCCCGUUUUCUGAGGUUACAGCCGCCAGUGUUUUCCAGUAGCACUGAACCAAUAGUUGCGGAUGACUGGUUACGCAGGAUUGGAAGGGAGUUGACCACCGCAGGUUGCACGGAUGCAGAGAAGGUGUGUUUUGCCGCACAUCAGUUGGAUGGACCAGCAGCGUCAUGGUGGGAGAAUUACACAGCCACUUUUCCCAUAGCCAAUGUUACCUGGGAUCAGUUUCAGCAAGCAUUCCGCACAGCCCAUGUCUCAACUGGAGCUAUGAGCAUGAAGAAGCGUGAGUUUCGCAACUUACGCCAGGGGAAUCGUACUGUGGCUCAGUACGUAGAUGAGUUUAGUAAGCUAUCUCGUUAUGCCCCUGAUGAUGUGGCCACGGAUGCCGCGAAGCAGGAGAAGUUUAUGGAAGGGCUAAAUGAUGAGAUGAGCAUGCAGUUGAUGGUGGCAACAUUCAACAACUACCAGGAGUUGGUAGACAAGGCUCUUAUGAUUGAAAGGAAGCAGCAGCAGAUUGAGAGCCGCAAGAGGAAGUAUGGACAAGGAAAGUUCAAUUCUGGAGCUCAACAGAAGCCUCGUUUCACCCCGAACUCGGGAGGACUUGUCCAUAACCAUGGAGGUCACAAUCACAAUGGAGGGAGUUCCCACAACCACAAUGGCUCCAAGAAUGGAAACGGGAAUGGAGCAGGCAGCAAUCAGAACCGCUCUAACCCAGCCACACCCGCCAAGAAGGACCUAAGUCACAUUACUUGUUUCAAGUGCGGGAAGACUGGACACUAUGCCACUGAGUGCCCGGAAGCAAAGAAUAGCAAUGGCAAUGGAAGCGCUGGGAAGAAGACCAACCCUUUCAACAGGGGACAAGUGAACCACGUGAACAUGGAGCAAGUUGAGGAGCAGCCUGAUGCAGUUAUUGGUAAGUUUUUGGUUAAGUCUUUUACUGCAAUUGUUCUUUUCGAUACUGGUGCAUCGCAUUCAUACAUAUCAAGGGGAUUCGUGGAUAAGUAUAAGUUGCCCACUAAGGUACUUAGGACACCAAUGUUAGUAAGCUUGCCAGGAGCAGAAUAUAUGGCAAGUCAAGGAUGUUUUCAGAUGCCAUUGACCAUUGGAAGCCAUUUUUUCCCCUCGGAUCUGAUAAUUUUGGAGUCACAAGGUUUGGAUGUGAUACUAGGAAUGGAUUGGCUAUCGAUGUAUGGAGGAAACAUCAAUAGCGCGAGUAAGUCAAUUUUGCUCACUACCCCGGAGGGAAAAAGGACCAAGUAUGUAUCCAGGCAUUCGCCAAGGAGGACCCAAGUAAAUUCUCUCACGGGAGUUGUUCAGGAGGAAGUGCCGGUAGUUAAGGAUUACCCGGAUGUAUUUUUGGAGGAGUUACCAGGCAUGCCACCAGAUCGAGAUAUCGAGUUUUUGAUAGAGCUGUUGCCAGGCACCGGCCCUAUAUCGAAGACCAUACCGGAUGCCCGCAAACGAUCUGGAGGAGAUUAAGAAGCAGAUUAAGGAUUUAUUGGAGAAAGGUUACAUUCGAAGAAGUUCAUCACCAUGGGGAGCCCCAGUGCUCUUGGUUGAGAAGAAGGAUGGAUCCUUAAGGAUGGUUGUUGAUGAUCGUGCUUUGAAUGAAGUAACAAUCAAUAAUAAGUAUCCACUGCCGAUGAUCAAUGAUUUUUUUGACCAGUUGCAAGGAGCUAAGGUGUUUUAGAAGAUUGAUCUGCGAUCAGGAUAUCACCAACUGAAGAUCCGGGAGAAGGAUAUACCUAAAACAGCUUUCACCACAAGGUACGGACUGUAUGAGUAUACAGUUAUGUCAUUUGGAUUGUGAAACUGCAACUAUCCCUGGGUGGUUUUGGUAAUUCCUAACAACAUAUAGCUCAUUGAGCUAAUGCUAUUUCAAGAUGAAUAUUUCAGGAAAACUCAAUGAUUGGCAUGGCAUGGAUUAGAAAGUGGACCCUUCAAAAUGCUAAGGACAAACGAUUGGCUCAAGCUCAAAGCACAAGACUCUACAUUUUCUAUUUUAGUGAUCCAAGAUCACAUUGAGUCUAUAGGAAAAGCCAAUACUAUUAAGAAGGGAUGAGGUGCUGCUUAAUGAGGUUCUUGCUCAAAAUGCUUAGUGAUAUGCUCCAAAACCCUCCACUACUUUCUCAUAUCCACAUAUGUCCCACACCAAAUAUCCAACUCGGCCCCACCGAUUCUUUCUAUCCGGAGCCACCGAGUUCAGUUGACAUAGCCACUGCCAGAAACCCUAGUCUUUUCAGUCUCACCGAUAGGGAUCUCGGUCUCACCGAGAUGGGAUUGUAAUCUCUCUGUUUCCCUUCGUAACGUUUCGGUCAAACCGAGAUGAGUGAUUGGUCCCACCGAGAUUGCAAUGCAAACACUCUGUUUCCUUUUCGUAACGUUUCGGUCCAACCGAGAUGAGCGAAUCGGUCCCACCGAGUUUGCCUGACCAACUCUCUGUUUGACUAUUACCAAAAUCGGUCCCACCGAGUUUGUGUAAUCGGUCUCACCGAGAUUAGGUUAUGCCCUAACCCUAAUGAAAUCGGUCCCACCGAGUUGACAUGACGGUCCCACCGAAACACCUAACGGUCACAUUAUGAACCAAAUCGGUCAGACCGAGUUCUCUGAAUCGGUCCCACCGAGUUUGGUAAUUUGUGUGUAAUGGUUAGAUUUUGUGUGGAGGCUAUAUAUACCCCUCCACCCACUCUUCAUUCAUGGAGAGAGCCAUCAGAACAUGCCUACACUUCCAACAUAUAUUUUCUGAAAGAGAACCACCUACACUUGUGUUGAGGUCAAGAUAUUCCAUUCCAACCACAUAAAUCUUGAUCUCUAGCCUUCCCCAAGUUGCUUUCCACUCAAAUCUUCUUUCUACCAAAUCCAAUCCCAUGAGAGAGAGUUGAGUAUUGGGGAGACUAUCAUUUGAAGCAAAAGAGCAAGGAGUUCAUCAUCAACACACCAUUUGUUAAUUCUUGGAGAGUGGUGUCUCCUAGAUUGGCUAGGUGUCACUUGGGAGCCUCCGUCAAGAUUGUGGAGUUGAACCAAGGAGUUUGUAAGGGCAAGGAGAUCGCCUACUUCGUGAAGAUCUACCCUAGUGAGGCAAGUCCUUCGUAGGCGACGGCCAUGGUGGGAUAGAUAAGGUUGCUUCUUCGUGGACCCUUUGUGGGUGGAGCCCUCCAUGGACUCGCGCAACCAUUACCCUUCGUGGGUUGAAGUCUCCAUCAACGUGGAUGUACGAUAGCACCACCUAUCAGAACCACGGAUAAAAAAUCUUCGUGUCAACAUUGCGUUUGCUCUCUCAAUCUCCUCCCUUUACCUUCAUAUGCAAUUGUUUUACAUUCCGCUGCUAUACUCUUAGAAUUGCAUGUGUAGGUUGAUUGCUUGACUUGUGCUAAGUUGCUAAAAUCUGCCAAGAACUAAAAUUGGGAAAAGGCUAGACUUUUAUUUGGUCAAGUAGUCUAAUCACCCCCCUCUAGACAUACUUUCGAUCCUACAAGUGGUAUCAGAGCUUUGGUCUCCAUUUGCUUUGAUUUCCAUAGCUUUUGGUGGUCAUAGCCUUGGUUUCACAACCUAGGAGAGUAUGGCGUCUAGCGAGGGAAAUUACCACCGUAGAGGUCCUUACUUUGAUGGUACAAAUUUUGCAAGUUGGAAGCAUAAGAUGAAAAUGCAUAUUCUUGGACAUAACCCCGCCGUUUGGGCUAUUGUGUGUAUUGGCUUGCAAGGUGAAUUCUUUGAUGGGAGAGAACCAAACCGUGAAGCUACCACGGAAGAGUUGAAGAUGCUACAAUACAAUGCUCAAGCUUGUGAUAUUCUCUUCAACGGAUUGUGCCCCGAAGAAUUCAACAAAAUCAGCCGUCUUGAGAAUGCAAAGGAAAUUUGGGAUACUUUGAUUGAUAUGCACGAAGGUACCGACUCCGUCAAGGAAUCCAAAUUGGAUGUGCUUCAAAGUCAUCUUGACAAGUUCAAAAUGAAGGAUGGUGAAGGUGUCGCCGAAAUGUACUCUAGGCUGGCUCUCAUCACAAAUGAGAUUGCCGGCUUAGGAAGUGAAGAGAUGACCGACAAAUUCAUCAUCAAGAAGAUCCUAAGAGCCUUGGAUGGAAAAUAUGAUACCAUGUGCACAUUGAUCCAAAUGAUGCCCAAUUACAAAGAUCUCAAGCCAAUGGAAGUCAUUGGAAGAAUUGUUGCUCAUGAGAUGUCACUCAAGUAGGGAUGGCAAUGGGGACAAUCCCCUAUGGGGAUACCUACAACAUCCCCAUCCCCAUCUAUUCCCUAUCAGCCCAUCCCCAUCCCCGUUUACAUGACUGGGGAUGAAAUUUCCCCAUACCCAUGCCCCACUGGGGAACGGGGCCCCAUUAGGGUCCCCAUCCCCAUAAAAAAUACUCAUAUACAUAAUAUGACACGCUAUAAUCAACAUACAUACAUGGUGUUUACCUUGUCCUGCUAAUUCCUAUCUAGGUCGUAUUGACUUCUUGGUCAUGGUGGCAGCUGAGGUGAGGACGUGAGAUAGGUUUAAGGUUUUUUUAGAGCUUUUUUUGUUUUCGCAAGUUUGUUUGUGAAUAUGUUAAGGUUGACCGCAGUAUCAUAGAGCCUCCACCAGCCAUAUAUGCAUGUAGUGAUAGCAUUUAUCUGUUCAUUGCUCUACUGUGUUAUAUUGCCAGCAUAUUCCAUGUGUUAUAUUGCCAGCAUAUUAUGUUGCAGACUUGUCAUACGACGAGUAAAGGUGCGAUAGGUCGUUGUCAUGCACUCAGCUAUGCCGUUGGAGUUGAUGGACUCACUUUAUCUUCCAAGUCUUCCGCUGUUAUCGUGUUAGAUGGCCUUAAGUCAUAUUUAUUGUAAUAAGUUCUCUUUUGGAGACAUUCGAUGUAAUAAGUGUGUGAUUGCUACUCUGUUAUAAAUCCUUCGAGUAUUGUGUGUGUCAGCAUUACCAAUCCAGGGAUGACACUGAAGCACAGAGACUUGACCGUUUGAGGUCGGGUCCUCAGAUGCCAAGUUUCAUGAAUUUCAGACGAGUUUUGGUUGUACUAGAAUUUAAAAACCAGGCAUCUCAAUGUUUUGCUAGCAAUCAACGGUGCCCCGGUGUUUGAAAUUCAUUCCCAUUUCUUGCAUGAGACCUAAGCAUCCACCCAGGGACACAGAUUUGAUUUUUCAACCAAUUUAUAUGCACUGGAGCAUGUGCAUGUAGUUCAAAUUUGAAUUAUGCUUAUAAAAUGCAUUGAAAACUCAGUUAAUGCAUAAAAAUGUCCAAACGAACCCCGAAAAAUCACAGACAUUCACACAACACUCCUAUUGUUCUAUGUUGACUCGAGAAAAAAAUUGAAAGCAAUAAGAGGCAAUGGAUAUCGUUUCGUCCCCAAAGGUGGGACGUUUACCUACCGAAAACCAUCAUGCUUGUUGUGACAAGCUCCGGCUUGUGAGAAGCAUAUACCCAAACCUGCCCCAAAUAGGACAAAAUUUGUACCACAGCAUGUUGACGCCGCUCCAUGAUAGCAUGCCAAGUUUCAUGAAUUUCGCACGAGUUUUGGAUUUACUAGAAUUUAAAAACCUGGCAUCUCAAUGUAUUGCCGGCAAUCAACGGUGCCCCGGUGUUUGAAAUUCAUUCCCAUUUCUUGCAUGGGACCUAAGCAUGCACCCAAGGACACAGAUUUAAUUUUUGAACCAAUUUAUAUGCACUUGAGAAUGUGCAUGUAGUUUAAAUUUGAAUUAUGCACAUAAAAUGCAUUGAAAACUCAGUUAAUGCAUAAAAAUGUCCAAACGAACCCCGAAAAGUCACAAAAAAUCACACAACACUCCUGUUGUUCUAUGUUGACACGAGAAUAAAAAUUUGAAAGCAAUAAGAGGCAAUGGAUAUCGUUUCGUCCCCAAAGGUGGGACGUUUCCCUACCGAAAACCAUCAUGCUUGUUGUGAGAAGCUCCGGUUUGUGAGAAGCAUAUACCCAAACCUGCCCCAAAUGGGACAAAAUUUGUACCACGGCAUGUUGAUGCCGCUCCAUGAUAGCAUGCCAAGCUUCAUGAAUUUCAGAUGAGUUUUGGAUUUACUAGAAUUUAAAAACCAGGCAUCUCAAUGUUUUGCCGGCAAUCAACGGUGCCUCGGUGUUAUAAAUUCAUUCCCAUUUCUUGCAUGGGACCUAAGCAUGCACCCAAGGACAUAGAUUUGAAUUUUCAACCAAUUUAUAUGCACUUGAGCAUGUGCAUGUAGUUCAAAUUUGAAUUAUGCACAUAAAAUACAUUGAAAACUCAGUUAAUGCAUAAAAAUGUCGAAACGAACCGCGAAAAAUCACAAAAAUUCAAACAACACUCUUGUUGUUCUAUGUUGACACGAGAAAAAAAUUGAAAUCUAUAAGAGGCAAUGGAUAUCGUUUCGUCCCCAAAGGUGGGACGUUCCCUACCGAAAACCAUCAUGCUUGUUGUGAGAAGCUCCGGUUUGUGAGAAGCAUAUACCCAAACCUGCCCCAAAUGGGACAAAAUUUGCACCACGGCAUGUUGAUGCCACUCCAUGAUAGCAUGCCAAGUUUCAUGAAUUUCAAACGAGUUUUGGAUUUACUAGAAUUUAAAAACAAGGCAUCUCAAUGUUUUGCCGGCAAUAAACGGUGCCUCGGUGUUUGAAAUUCAUUCCCAUUUCUUGCAUGGGACCUAAGCAUGCACCCAAGGACACAGAUUUGAUUUUUCAACCAAUUUAUAUGCACUGGAGCAUGUGCAUGUUGUUCAAAUUUUAAUUUUGCACAUAAAAUGCAUCGAAAACUCAGUUAAUGGAUAAAAAUAUCCAAACAAACCCUGAAAAAACACAAAAAAUCACACAACACUCCUCUUGUUCUAUGUUGACACGAGAAAAAAAUUGAAAGCAAUAAGAGGCAAUGGAUAUCGUUUCGUCCCCUACCGAAAACCAUCAAAGGUGGGACGUUCCCUAAGUAUGCACCCAAGGACACAUAUUUGAUUUUUCAACCAAUUUAUAUACACUCGAGCAUGUGCAUGUAGUUCAAAUUUGAAUUAUGCACAUAAAAUGCAUCAAAAACUGAGUUAAUGCAUGAAAAUGUCCAAACGAACCCCAAAAAUCACAAAAAUUCACACAACACUCCUAUUGUUCAAUGUUUCCACGAGAAAAAAAUUAAAAUCAAUAAGAGGCAAUGGAUAUCGUUUCGUCCCCAAAGGUGGGACCUUCCCUACCGAAAACCAUCAUGCUUUUUGUGAGAAGCUCCGGUUUAUGAGAAGAAUAUACGCAAACCAGCCCCAAAUGGGACAAAAUUUGUACCACGGCAUGUUGAUGCCGCUCCAUGAUAGCAUGCCAAGUUUCAUGAAUUUCAGACGAGUUUUGGAUUUACUAGAAUUUAAAAACCAGGCAUCUCAAUGUUUUGCCGGCAAUCAACGGUGCCUCGGUGUUUGAAAUUCAUUCCCAUUUCUUGCAUGGGACCUAAGCAUGCACCCAACGACACAAAUUUGAUUUUUCAACCAAUUUAUAUGCACUGGAGCAUGUGCAUGUAGUUCAAAUUUGAAUUAUGCACAUAAAAUGCAUCCAAAACUCAGUUAAUGCAUAAAAAUGUCCAAACGAACCCCGAAAAAUCACAAAAAUUCAGACAACACUCCUGUUGUUCUAUGUUGACAGGAGAAAAAAAUUGAAAUCAAUAAGAGGCAAUGGAUAUCAUUUUGUCCCCAAAGGUGGGACGUUUCCCUACCGAAAACCAUCAUGCUUGUUGUGCGAAGCUCCGGUUUGUGAGAAGCAUAUACCCAAACCUGCCCUAAAUGGGAGAAAAUUUGUACCAUGGCAUGUUGAUGCCGCUCCAUGAUAGGAUGCCAAGUUUCAUGAAUUUCAGACGAGUUUUGGAUUUACUAGAAUUUAAAAACCAGGCAUCUCAAUGUAUUGCGGGCAAUCAACGGUGCCCCGGUGUUUGAAAUUCAUUCCCAUUUCUUGCAUGGGACCUAAGCAUGCACCCAAGGACACAGAUUUAAUUUUUCAACCAAUUUAUAUGCACUAGAGAAUUUGCAUGUUGUUAAAAUUUGAAUUACGCACAUAAAAUGCAUUGAAAACUCAGUUAAUACAUAAAAAUGUCCAAACGAACCCCGAAAAAUCACAAAAAUUCACACAACACUCCUGUUGUUCUAUGUUGACACGAGAAUAAAAAUUUGAAAGCAAUAAGAGGCAAUGGAUAUAGUUUCGUCCCCAAAGGUGGGACGUUCCCUACCGAAAACCAUCAUGCUUAUUGUGAGAAGCUCCGGUUUGUGAGAGGCAUAUACCCAAACCUGCCCCAAAUGGGAAAAAAUUUGUACCACGGCAUGUUGAUGCCGCUGCAUGAUAGCAUGCAAAGUUUCAUGAAUUUCAGACGAGUUUUGGAUAUACUUGAAUUUAAAAACAGGCAUCUCAAUGUUUUGCCGGCAAUCAACGGUGCCUCGGUGUUAUAAAUUCAUUCCCAUUUCUUGCAUGGGACCUAAGCAUGCACCCAAGGACACAGAUUUGAUUUUUCAACCAAUUCAUAUGCACUGGAGCAUGUGCAUGUAGUUCAAAUUUGAAUUAUGCCCAUAAAAUAUAACGAAAACUUAGUUAAUGCAUAAAAAUGUCCAAACGAACCUCGAAAAAUCACAAAAAUUCACACAACACUGCUGUUGUUCUAUGUUGACACGAGGAAAAAAUUGAAAUCAAUAAGAGGCAAUGGAUAUCGUUUCGUCCCCAAAGGUGGGACGUUCCCUACCGAAAACCAUCAUGCUUGUUAUGAGAAGCUCCGGUUUGUGAGAAGCAUAUACCCAAACCUGCCCAAAUGGGACAAAAUUUGUACCACGGCAUGUUGAUGCCGCUCCAUGAUAGCAUGCCAAGUUUCAUGAAUUUCAGACGAGUUUUGGAUUUACUAGAAUUUAAAAACCAGGCAUCUCAAUGUUUUGCCGGCAAUCAAUGGUGCCUCGCUGUUUGAAAUUCAUUCCCAUUUCUUGCAUGGGACCUAAGCAUGCACCCAAGGACACAGAUUUGAUUUUUCAACCAAUUUAAAUGCACUGGAGCAUGUGCAUGUAGUUCAAAUUUUAAUUAUGCACAUAAAAUGCAUUGAAAACUCAGUUAAUGCAUAAAAAUAUCCAAACGAACCCUGAAAAAUCACAAAAAUUCACACAACACUCCUGUUGUUCUAUGUUGACACGAGAAAAAAAUUGAAAGCAAUAAGAGGCAAUGGAUAUCGUUUCGUCCCCUACCGAAAACCAUCAAAGGUGGGACGUUCCCUAAGCAUGCACUCAAGGACACAUAUUUGAUUUUUCAACCAAUUUAUAUGCACUCGAGCAUGUGCAUGUAGUUCAAAUUUGAAUUAUGCACAUAAAAUGCAUCAAAAACUCAGUUAAUGCAUGAAAAUGUCCAAACGAACCCCGAAAAAUCACAAAAAUUCACACAACACUCCUAUUGUUCUAUUUUUCCACGAGAAAAAAAUUGAAAUCAAAAAGAGGCAAUGGAUAUCGUUUCGUCCCCAAAGGUGGGACGUUCCCUAACGAGAACCAUCAUGCUUGUUGUGAGAAGCUCCGGUUUGUGAGAAGCUCAUACCCAAACCUGCCCCAAAUGGGACAAAAUUUGUACCACGGCAUGUUGAUGCCGCUCCAUGAUAGCAUCCCAAGUUUCAUGAAUUUCAGACGAGUUUUGGAUUUACUAGAAUUUAAAAACCAGGCAUCUCAAUGUUUUGCUGGCAAUCAACGGUGCCUCGGUGUUAUAAAUUCAUUCCCAUUUCUUGCAUGGGACCUAAGCAUGCACCCAAGGACACAGAUUUGAUUUUUCAACCAAUUUAUAUGCACUGGAGCAUGUGCAUGUAGUUCAAAUUUGAAUUAUGCACAUAAAAUGCAUUGAAAACUCAGUUAAUGCAUAAAAAUGUCCAAACGAACCCCGAAAAAUCACAAAAAUUCACACAACACUCCUGUUGUUCUUUGUUGACACGAGAAAAAAAUGAAAUCAAUAAGAGGCAAUGGAUAUCGUUUUGUCCCAAAGGUGGGACGUUCCCUACCGAAAACCAUGAUGCUUGUUGUGAGAAGCUCCGGUUUGUGAGAAGCAUAUACCCAAACCUGCCCCAAAUGGGACAAAAUUUGUACCACGGCAUGUUGAUGCCGCUCCAUGAUAGCAUGCCAAGUUUCAUGAAUUUCAGACGAGUUUUGGAUUUACUAGAAUUUAAAAACAAGGCAUCUCAAUGUUUUGCCGGCAAUCAACGGUGCCUCGGUGUUUGAAAUUCAUUCCCAUUUCUUGCAUGGGACCUAAGCAUGCACCCAAGGACACAGAUUUGAUUUUUCAACCAAUUUAUAUGCACUAGAGCAUGUGCAUGUAGUUCAAAUUUUAAUUAUGCACAUAAAAUGCAUCAAAAACUCAGUUAAUGCAUAAAAAUAUCCAAACGAACCCUGAAAAAUCACAAAAAUUCACACAACACUCCUGUUGUUUUAUGUUGACACGAGAAAAAAAAUUGAAAGCAAUAAGAGGCAAUGGAUAUCGUUUCGUCCCCUACCGAAAACCAUCAAAGGUGGGACGUUCCCUAAGCAUGCACCCAAGGACACAUAUUUGAUUUUUCAACCAAUUUAUAUGCACUCGAGCAUGUGCAUGUAGUUCAAAUUUGAAUUAUGCACAUAAAAUGGAUCAAAAACUCAUUUAAUGCAUGAAAAUGUCCAAACGAAUCCCGAAAAAUCACAAAAAUUCACACAACUCUCCUAUUGUUCUAUGUUUCCACAAGAAAAAAAUUAAAAUCAAUAAGAGGCAAUGGAUAUCGUUUCGUCCCCAAAGGUGGGACGUUCCCUACCAAAAACCAUCAUGCUUUUUGUGAGAAGCUCCGGUUUGUGAGAAGAAUAUACCCAAACCUGCCCCAAAUGGGACAAAAUUUGUACCACGGCAUGUUAAUGCCGCUCCAUGAUUGCAUGCCAAGUUUCAUGAAUUUCAGACGAGUUUUGGAUUUACUAGAAUUUGAAAACCACGCAUCUCAAUGUUUUGCCGACAAUCAACGGUGCCUCGGUGUUUGAAAUUCAUUCCCAUUUCUUGCAUGGGACCUAAGCAUGCACCCAAGGAGACAAAUUUGAUUUUUCAACCAAUUUAUAUGCACUGGAGCAUGUGCAUGUAGUUCAAAUUUGAAUUAUGCACAUAAAAUGCAUCGAAAACUCAGUUAAUGAAUAAAAAUGUCCAAACGAACCCUGAAAAAUCACAAAAAUUAACACAACACUCAUGUUGUUCUAUGUUGACAGGAGAAAAAAUUGAAAUCAAUAAGAGGCAAUGGAUAUCGUUUCGUCCCCAAAGGUGGGACAUUUCCCUACCGAAAACUAUCAUGCUUGUUGUGCGAAGCUCCGGUUUAUGAGAAGCAUAUACCCAAACCUGCCCCAAAUGGGAAAAAAUUUGUACCACGACAUGUUGAUGCCGCUCCAUGAUAGCAUGCCAAGUUUCAUGAAUUUCAGACGAGUUUUGGAUUUACUAGAAUUUAAAAACCAGGCAUCUCAAUGUAUUGCCGGCAAUCAACGGUGCCCCGGUGUUUGAAAUUCAUUCCCAUUUCUUGCAUGGUACCUAAGCAUGCACCCAAGGACACAGAUUUAAUUUUUCAACCAAUUUAUAUGCACUGGAGAAUUUGCAUGUUGUUAAAAUUUGAAUUACGCACAUAAAAUGCAUUGAAAACUCAGUUAAUACAUAAAAAUGUCCAAACGAACCCCGAAAAAUCACAAAAAUUCACACAACACUCCUGUUGUUCUAUGUUGACACGAGAAUAAAAAUUUGAAAGCAAUAAGAGGCAAUGGAUAUAGUUUCGUCCCCAAAGGUGGGACGUUCCCUACCGAAAACCAUCAUGCUUCUUGUGAGAAGCUCCGGUUUGUGAGAAGCAUUUACCCAAAUCUGCCCCAAAUGGGACAAAAUUUUUACCACGGCAUGUUGAUGCCUCUCCAUGAUAGCAUGCCAAGUUUCAUGAAUUUCAGACGAGUUUUGGAUUUACUAGAAUUUAAAAACCAGGCAUCUCAAUGUUUUGCCGGCAAUCAACGGUGCCUCGGUGUUAUAAAUUCAUUCCCAUUUCUUGCAAUGGACAUAAUCAUGCACCCAAGGACACAGAUUUGAUUUUUCAACAAAUUUAUAUGCACUGGAGCAUGUGCAUGUAGUUCAAAUUUGAAUUAAGCACAUAAAAUACAUCGAAAACCCAGUAAAUGCAUAAAAAUGUCCAAACGAACCUCGAAAAAUCACAAAAAUUCACACAACACUCAUGUUGUUCUAUGUUGACACGAGAAAAAAAUUGAAAUCUAUAAGAGGCAAUGGAUAUCGUUUCGUCCCUAGAGGUGGGAUGUUCCCUACCGAAAACCAUCAUGCUUGUUGUGAGAAGCUCCGGUUUGGGAGAAGCAUAUACCCAAACCUGGCCCAAAUGGGACAAAAUUUGUACCACGGCAUGUUGAUGCCGCUCCAUGAUAGCAUGCCAAGUUUCAUGAAAUUCAGACGAGUUUUGGAUUUACUUGAAUUUAAAAACCAGGCAUCUCAAUGUUUUGCAAGCAAUCAACGGUGCCUCGGUGUUUGAAAUUUUCAUUCCCAUUUCUUGCAUAGGACCUAAGCAUGCACCCAAGGACACAGAUUUGAUUUUUCAACCAAUUUAUAUGCACUUGAGCAUGUGCAUGUAGUUCAAUUUUUAAUUAUGCACAUAAAAUGCAUCGAAAACUCAGUUAAUGCAUAAAAAUGUCCAAACGAACCCCGAAAAAUCACAAAAAUUCACACAACACUCCUGUUGUUCUAUGUUGACACGAGAAUAUAAAUUUGAAAGCAAUAAGAGGCAAUGGAUAUAGUUUCGUCCCCAAAGGUGGGACGUUCCCUACCGAAAACCAUCAUGCUUCUUGUGAGAAGCUCCGGUUUGUGAGAAGCAUUUACCCAAACCUGCCCCAAAUGGGACAAAAUUUGUACAACGGCAUGUUGAUGCCGCUCCAUGAUAGCAUGCCAAGUUUCAUGAAUUUCAGACGAGUUUUGGAUUUACUUGAAUUUAAAAACCAGGCAUCUCAAUGUUUUGCCGGCAAUCAACGGUGCCUCGGUGUUUGAAAUUUUCAUUCCCAUUUCUUGUAUGGGACCUAAGCAUGCACCCAAGGACACAGAUUUGAUUUUUCAACCAAUUUAUAUGCACUUGAGCAUGUGCAUGUUGUUCAAUUUUUAAUUAUGCACAUAAAAUGCAUCGAAAACUCAGUUAAUGCAUAAAAAUGUCCAAACGAACCCCGAAAAAUCACAAAAAUUCACACAAAACUCCUGUUGUUCUAUUUUGACACGAGAAAAAAAUGAAAUCAAUAAGAGGCAAUGGAUAUCGUUUCGUCCCCAAAGGUGGGACGUUCCCUACCGAAAACCAUCAUGCUUGUUGUGAGAAGCUCCGGUUUGUGAGAAGCAUAUACCCAAACCUGCCCCAAAUGGGACAAAAUUUGUACCAUGGCAUGUUGAUGCCGCUCCAUGAUAGCAUGCCAAGUUUCAUGAAUUUCAGACGAGUUUUGGAUUUACUAGAAUUUAAAAACGAGGCAUCUCAAUGUUUUGCCAGCAAUCAACGGUGCCUCGGUGUUUGAAAUUCAUUCCCAUUUCUUGCAUGGGAGCUAAGCAUGCACCCAAGGACACAGAUUUGAUUUUUCAAUCAAUUUAUAUGCACUGGAGCAUGUGCAUCUUGUUCAAAUUUUAAUUAUGCACAUAAAAUGCAUCGAAAACUCAGUUAAUGCAUAAAAAUAUCCAAACGAACCUUGAAAAAUCAAAAAAAUUCACACAACACUCCUGUUGUUCUAUGUUGAAAGGAGAAAAAAAAUUGAAAGCAAUAAGAGGCAAUGGAUAUCGUUUCGUCCCCUACCAAAAACCAUCAAAGGUGGGACGUUCCCUAAGCAUGCACCCAAGGAGACAUAUUUGAUUUUUCAACCAAUUUAUAUGCACUGGAGAAUGUGCUUGUAGUUCAAUUUUGAAUUAUGCACAUAAAAUGCAUUGAAAACUCAGUUAAUACAUAAAAAUGUCCAAACGAACCCCGAAAAAUCACAAAAAUUCACACAACACUCCUGUUGUUCAAUAUUGACACGAGAAUAAGAAUUUGAAAGCAACAAGAGGCAAUGGAUAUAGUUUCGUCCCCAAAGGUGGGACGUUCCCUACCGAAAACCAUCAUGCUUAUUGUGAGAAGCUCCGGUUUGUGAGAAACAUAUACCCAAACCUGCCCCAAAUGGGACAAAAUUUGUAACACGGCAUGUUGAUGCCUCUCCAUGAUAGCAUGCCAAGUUUCAUGAAUUUCAGACGAGUUUUGGAUUUACUAGAAUUUAAAAACCAGGCAUCUCAAUGUUUUGCCGGCAAUGAACGGUGCCUCGGUGUUUGAAAUUCAUUCCCAUUUCUUGCAUGGGUCCUAAGCAUGCACCCAAGGAGACAGAUUUGAUUUUUCAACCAAUUUAUAUGCACUGGAGCAUGUGCAUGUUGUUCAAAUUUUAAUUAUGCACAUAAAAUGCAUCGAAAACUCAGUUAAUGCAUAAAAAUAUCCAAAUGAACCUCGAAAAAUCACAAAAAUUCACACAACACUCCUGUUGUUUUAUGUUGACACGAGAAAAAAUUGAAAUCAAUAAGAGGCAAGGGAUAUCGUUUCGUCCCCAAAGGUGGGACGUUUCCUACCGAAAACCAUCAUGCUUGUUGUGAGAAGCUCCGGUUUGUGAGAAGCAUAUACCCAAACCUGCCCCAAAUGGGACAAAAUUUGUACCACGGCAUGUUGAUGCCGCUCCAUGAUAGCAUGCCAAGUUUCAUGAAUUUCAGACGAGUUUUGGAUUUAGUAGAAUUUAAAAACCAGGCAUCUCAAUGUAUUGCUGGCAAUCAACGGUGCCCGGUGUUUGAAAUUCAUUCCCAUUUCUUGCAUGGGACCUAAGCAUGCACCCAAGGACACAGAUUUAAUUUUUCAGCCAAUUUAUAUGCACUAGAGAAUGUGCACGUAGUUAAAAUUUGAAUUAUGCACAUAAAAUGCAUUGAAAACUCAGUUAAUACAUAAAAAUGUCCAAACGAACCCCGAAAAAUCACAAAAAUUCACACAACACUCCUUUUGUUCAAUGUUGACACGAGAAAAAAUUCAAAGCAAUAAGAGGCAAUGGAUAUCGUUUCGUCCCCAAAGGUGGGACGUUUCCCUACCACAAACCAUCAUGCUUGUUGUGAGAAGCUCCGGUUUGUGAGAAGCAUAUACCCAAACCUGCCCCAAAUGGGACAGAACUUGUAACACGACAUGUUGAUGCCGCCCCAUCAUAGCAUGCCAAGUUUCAUGAAUUUUAGACCAGUUUUGGAUUUACUAGAAUUUAAAAACCAGGCAUCUCAAUGUUUUGCCCGCAAUCAACGGUGCCUCGGUGUUUGAAAUUCAUUCCCAUUUCUUGCAUGGGACCUAAGCUUGCACCCAAGGACACAUAUUUGAUUUUUCAACCAAUUUAUAUGCACUCGAGCAUGUGCAUGUAGUUCAAAUUUGAAUUAUGCACAUAAAAUGCAUUGAAAACUCAGUUAAUGCAUAGAAAUGUCCAAACGAACCCCGAAAAAUCACAAAAAUUCACACAACACUCCUAUUUAUCUAUGUUGACACGAGAAAAAAAAUUUGAAAGCAGUAAGAGGCAAUGGAUAUCGUUUCGUCGCCAAAGGUGGGACGUUUCCCUACCGCAAACCAUCAUGCUUGUUGUGAGAAGCUCCGGUUUGUGAGAAGCAUAUUCCCAAACCUGCCCCAAAUGGGACAAAAUUUGUACCACGGCAUGUUGAUGCCGCUCCAUGAUAGCAUGCCAAGUUUCAUGAAUUUCAGACGAGUUUUGGAUUUACUAGAAUUUAAAAACCAGGUAUCUCGAUGUUUUCCCGGCAAUCAAUGGUGCCCCGGUGUUUGAAAUUCAUUCCCAUUUCUUGCAUGGGACCUAAGAAUGCACCCAAGGACACAUAUUUGAUUUUUCAACCAAUUUAUAUGCACUGGAGCAUGUGCAUGUAGUUCCAAUUUGAAUUAUGUACAUAAAAUGCAUCAAAAACUCAGUUAAUGCAUAAAAAUGUCCAAACGAACCCACAAAAAUCAAAAAAAAUCACACAACACUCCUGUUGUUCUAUGUUGACACGAGAAAAAAAAUUGACAGCAAUAAGAGACAAUGGAUAUCGUUUCGUCCCCAAAGGUGGGACGUUUCCCUACCGAAAACCAUCAUGCUUGUUGUGAGAAGCACUGGUUUGUGAGAAGGAUACACCCGAACCUGCCCCAAAUGGGACAAAAUUUGUACCAUGGCAUGUUGAUGCCGCUCCAUGAUAGCAUGCCAAGUUUCAUGAAUUUCGGACGAGUUUUGGAUUUACUAGAAUUUAAAAACCAGGCAUCUCAAUGUUUUGCUGGCAAUCAACGGUGCCCCGGUGUUAGAAAUUCAUUCCCAUUUCUUGCAUGGGACCUAAGCAUGCAACCAAGGACACCGAUUUGAUUUUUCAACCAAUUUAUAUGCACUGGAGCAUGUGCAUGUAGUUCAAAUUUGAAUUAUGCACAUAAAAUCCAUCGAAAACUCCGUUAAUGCAUAAAAAUGUCCAAACGAACCUCGAAAAAUCACAAAAAUUCACACAACACUCCUGUUGUUCUAUGUUGACACGAGAAAAAAAUUGAAAGCAAUAAGAGACAAUGGAUAUCGUUUCAUCCCCAAAGGUGAGACGUUCCCUACCGAAAACCAUCAUGCUUGUUGUGAGAAGCUCCGGUUUGUGGGAAGCAUAUACCCAAACCUGCCCCAAAUGGGACAAAAUUUGUACCAUGGCAUGUUGAUGCCGCCCGAUGAUAGCAUGGCAAGAUUCAUGAAUUUCGGACGAGUUUUGGAUUUACUAGAAUAUAAAAACCAGGCAUCUCAAUGUUUUGCCGACAAUCAACGCUGCCCCGGUGUUUGAAAUUCAUUCCCAUUUCUUGCAUGGGACCUAAGCAUGCACCCAAGGACACAUAUUUGAUUUUUCAACCAAUUUAUAUGCACUGGAGCAUGUGCAUGUUGUUCAAAUUUGAAUUAUGCACAUAAAUGCGUUGAAAACUUAGUUAAUGCAUAAAAACGUCCAAACGAACCCCGAAAAAUCACAAAAAUGCACACAACACUCCUAUUGUUCUAUGUUGACACGAGAAAAAAUUUGAAAGCAAUAAGAGGCAAUGGAUAUCGUUUCGUCCCCAAAGGUGGGACGUUUCCCUACCACAAACCAUCAUGCUUGUUGUGAGAAGCUCCGGUUUGUGAGAAGCAUAUACCCAAACCUGCCCCAAAUGGGACAAAAUUUGUACCACGGCAUGUUGAUGCCGCUCCAUGAUAGCAUGCCAAGUUUCAUGAAUUUCAGACGAGUUUUGGAUUUACUAGAAUAUAAAAACCAGGCAUCUCAAUGUUUUGCCGGCAAUCAGCGCUGCCCCGGUGUUUGAAAUUCAUUCCCAUUUCUUGCAUGGGACCUAAGCAUGCACCCAAGGACACAGAUUUGAUUUUUCAACCAAUUUAUAUGCACUAGAGCAUGUGCAUGUUUUUAAAAUUUGAAUUAUGGACAUAAAUGCGUUGAAAAUUUAGUUAAUGCAUAAAAACAUCCAAACGACCCCGAAAAAUCACAAAAAUUCACACAACACUCCUAUUUAUCUAUGUUGACACGAGAAAAAAAUUUGAAAGCAGUAAGAGGCAAUGGAUAUCGUUUCGUCCCCAAAGGUGGGACGUUUCCCUACCACAAACCAUCAUGCUUGUUGUGAGAAGCUCCGGUUUGUGAGAAGCAUAUACCCAAACCUGCCCCAAAUGGGACAAAAUUUGUACCACGGCAUGUUGAUGCCGCUCCAUGAUAGCAUGCCAAGUUUCAUGAAUUUCACACGAGUUUUGGAUUUACUAGAAUUUAAAAAUCAAGCAUCUCAAUGUUUUGCCGGCAAUCAACGGUGCCCCGGUGUUUGAAAUUCAUUCCCAUUUCUUGCAUGGGACCUAAGCAUCCACCCAAGGACACAGAUUUGAUUUUUCAACCAAUCUAUAUGCACUGGAGCAUGUGCAUGUAGUUCAAAUUUGAAUUAUGCACAUAAAAUGCAUUGAAAUCUCAGUUAAUGCAUAAAAAUGUCCAAACGAACCCCGAAAAAUCACAAAGAUUCACACAACACUCCUGUUGUUCUAUGUUGACUCGAGAAAAAAAUUGAAUGUAAUAAGAGGCAAUGGAUAUCGUUUCGUCCCCAAAGGUGGGACGUUUGCCUAACGAAAACCAUCAUGCUUGUUGUGAGAAGCUCCGGUUUGUGAGAAGCAUAUACCCAAACCUGCCCCAAAUGGGACAAAAUUUGUACCAUGGCAUGUUGAUGCUGCUCCAUGAUAGCAUGCCAAGUUUCAUGAAUUUCGGACGAGUUUUGGAUUUACUAGAAUUUAAAAACCAAGCAUCUCAAUGUUUUGCCGGCAAUCAACGGUGCCCCGGUGUUUGAAAUUCAUUCCCAUUUCUUCCAUGGGACCUAAGCAUGCACCCAAGGACACAGAUUUGAUUUUUCAACCAAUUUAUAUGUAUUGGAGCAUGUGCAUGUAGUUCAAAUUUGAAUUAUGCACAUAAAAUGCAUCGAAAACUCAGUUAAUGCAUAAAAAUGUCCAAACGAACCCCAAAAAUUCACAAAAAUUCACACAACACUCCUGUUGUUCUAUGUUGACACAAGGAAAAAAUUGAAUGCAAUAACUUUGUGUUGGGAUGUCUUCAUUGGGGGGCUCGUAUUGGAUUUGGUAUUGGUAAGUUUCAUUUCACCUGUUUGGCUGUACACUGAAUUGGUGGUCGGUAAUGAAACUAAUUCAGGCUGAAAUCACUCCCACGCAAACAGCCUGCCCACAAUACGAAGGCCUCCGGCUCUGAAUUGCGCUAAAAUCGCCCAUCCCGCAAAACGUACCGGUUCACUUCCUUUUUCCCCCUCGCGAACAGAUAAGGAGAAAAGGCAGGAAGGGAGACAGCGAGCUCUGAGGUGGGCGGCGGCUGCGAAGCUCGGCGGCGUCCAGGUGCGUUCCCUCCCCGGGCCCCUCCUCCUACAGCAUCUUCCGGCAACCCCGCAACUCACCCGUCCCCUCCACUGACGCGUCGUGCACUGCCUCUAGCUCGGCGGCCAUGGGCGUCCGCCACAGUCCCGUCCGCUCGACCGCCUCUAGCGCGGCGGCCAUGGGUGUCCGCCGCUGGCCGACCCCUCCACCACCUGCGCGGUGCACCGCCUCCGGUGUUGAAGAGCGGUCACGCUCGCCUGAGGAGCGCGACGCGGCCGCACGCCCCCUGCCCCCUCACUUCCCCGAUCUGCUCCGGUCGAGCCACGAGACCGAGGGGAAUCAGACGUCACCAUGCGUGGCAGACCCGCACCGCGCGUUUAGUUGCUGCAGCUACGGCUUCUGGGGGGGCUAGAGUAGACGACGAAGGACUGUCGCUGCUGAAGCUUCCUGACCGGGCUUGCCUACUCUUCGGUUUCUAUGUGUGUGGAUGUGGGAAAAUUUAAUGAUUCCUGUGCGUAUGUGUAUGGACAAAUUUGUUGUUUCCUGCGGAUAGAAGGAUAAAAGCUUCACAAUCAAUGUUAAUAUGCAAUUUCAAUGUUUGCCAUCCAAACAGGAUUUGGUAUUGAAACCUCACAGAUUCCAUGAGGCAAUUCAGUGAACAACCAAACAAGCGAAUUCGUAUUCAUGUCCAUUUCAGUUUCCUUGCUGAAAUGGCAUUCCAACCAAUUCAUUACAGCGCCUUCCAAUAUGGAAAUCCAAACGCAGUGUAAGAGGCAAUGGAUAUCGUUUUGUCCCCAAAGGUGGGACGUUUCCCUACCGAAAACCAUCAUGCUUCUUGUGAGAAGCUCCGGUUUGUGAGAAGCAUAUACCCAAACCUGCCCCAAAUGGGACAAAUUUUGUACCACGGGAUGUUGAUGCCGCUUCAUGAUAGCAUGCCAAGUUUCAUGAAUUUCAAACGAGUUUUGGAUUUACUAGAAUUUAAAAACCAGGUAUCUCAAUGUUUUGCCGGCAAUCAAUGGUGCCCCGGUGUUUGAAAUUCAUUCCCAUUUCUUGCAUGGGACCUAAGCAUGCACCCAAGUACACAGAUUUGAUUUUUCAACCAAUUUAUAUGCACUGGAGCAUGUGCAUGUAGUUCAAAUUUGAAUUAUGCACAUAAAAUGCAUCAAAAACUCAGUUAAUGCAUAAAAUGUCCAAACGAACCCCGAAAAAUCACAAACAUUCACACAAUACUCCUGUUGUUCUAUGUUGACAUGAGAAAAAAAAUUGAAAGCGAUAAGAGGCAAUGGAUAUUGUUUCGUCCCAAAAGGUGGGACGUUCCCUACCGAAAACCAUCAUGCUUGUUGUGAGAAGCUCCGGUUUGUGAGAAGCAUAUACCCAAACCUGCCCCAAAUGGAACAAAAUUUGUACCACGGCAUGUUGAUGCCGCUUCAUGAGAGCAUGCCAAGUUUCACGAAUUUCAGACGAGUUUUGGAUUUACUAGAAUAUAAAAACCAGGCAUCUCAAUGUUUUGCCGGCAAUCAACGGUGCCCCGGUGUUUGAAAUUCAUUCCCAUUUCUUGCAUGGGACCUAAGCAUGCACCCAAGGACACAGAUUUGAUUUUUCAACCAAUUUAUAUGCACUGGAGCAUGUGCAUGUAGUUCAAAUUUGAAUUAUGCACAUAAAAUGCAUUGAAAACUUAGUUAAUGCAUAAAAAUGUCCAAACGAACACCGAAAAAUCAAAAAAAUCACACAACACUCAUGUUGUUCUAUGUUGACAUGAGAAAAAAAAUUGAAAUCAAUAAAGAGGCAAUAGAUAUCGUUUCGUCCCCAAAGGUGGGACGUUUCCCUACCGAAAACCAUCAUGCUUGUUGUGAGAAGCUCUGAUUUGUGAGAAGCAUAUACCGAAACCAGCCCCAAAUGGGACAAAUUUUGUACCACGGCAUGUUGAUGCCGCUCCAUGAUAGCAUACCAAGUUUCAUGAAUUUCGGACGAGUUUUGGAUUUACUAGAAUUUGAAAACCAGGCAUCUCAAUCUUUUGGCGGCAAUCAAUGGUGCCCCGGUGUUUGAAAUUCAUUCCCAUUUCUUGCAUGGGACCUAAGCAUGCACCCAAGGACACAGAUUUGAUUUUUCAACCAAUUUAUAUGCACUCGAGCAUGUGCAUGUAGUUCAAAUUUGAAUUAGGCACAUAAAAUGCAUCGAAAACUCAGUUAAUGCAUAAAAAUGUCCAAAUGAACCCCGAAAAAUCACAAAAUUUCACACAACACUCCUGUUGUUCUAUGUUGCCAGGAGAAAAAAAUUGAAAGCAAUAAGAGGCAAUGGAUAUCGUUUCAUCCCCAAAGGUGGGACGUUUCCCUACCGAAAACCAUCAUGCUUGUUGUGAGAAGCUCCGGUUUGUGAGAAGCAUAUACCCAAACCUGCCCCAAAUGGGACAAAUUUUGUACCACGGGAUGUUAAUGCCGCUUCAUGAUAGCAUGCCAAGUUUCAUGAAUUUCGGACGAGUUUUGGAUUUACUAGAAUUUAUAAACCAUGCAUCUCAAUGUUUUGCCGGCAAUCAACGGUGCCCCGGUGUUUGAAAUUCAUUCCCAUUUCUUCCAUGGGACCUAAGCAUGCACCCAAGGACACAGAUUUGAUUUUUCAACCAAUUUAAAUGCACUGGAGCAUGCGCAUGUAGUUCAAAUUUGAAUUAUGCACAUAAAAUGCAUCGAAAACUUAGUUAAUGCAUAAAAAUGUCCAAACGAACCCCGAAAAAUCACAAAAAUUCACACAACACUCCUGUUGUUCUAUGUUGACACGAGAAAAAAAUUCGAAAGCAAUAAGAGGGAAUGGAUAUCGUUUCGUCCCCAAAGGCGGGACGUUCCCUACCAAAAACCAUCAUGCUUGUUGUGAGAAGCUCCGGUUUGUGAGAAGCAUAUACCCAAACCUGCCCAAAUGGGACAAAAUUUGUACCACGGCAUGUCGAUGCCGCUCCAUGAUAGCAUGCCAAGUUUCAUGAAUUUCAGACGAGUUUUGGAUUUACUAGAAUUUAAAAACCAGGCAUCUCAAUGUUUUGACGGCAAUCAACGGUGCCCCGGCGUUUGAAAUUCAUUCCCAUAUCUUGUAUGGGCCCUAAGCAUGCACCCAAGGACACAGCUUUGAUUUUUCAACCAAUUUAUAUGCACUGGAGCAUGUGCAUGUAGUUCAAAUUUGAAUUAUGCACAUAAAAUGCAUCGAAAACUCAGUUAAUGCAUAAAAAUGUCCAAACGGACCACGAAAAAUCACAGAAAGUCAAUCAACACUACUGUUGUUCUAUGUUGACACGAGAAAAAAAAUUGAAAGCAAUAAGAGGCAAUGGAUAUCGUUUCGUCCCCAAAGGUGGGACGUUUCCCUACCAAAAACCAUCAUGCUUGUUGUGAGAAGCUCCGGUUUGUGAGAAGCAUAUACCCAGACCUGCCCCAAAUGGGACAUAAUUUGUACCACGGCAUGUUGAUGCCGCUCCAUGACAGCAUGCCAAGUUUCAUGAAUUUUAGAUGAGUUUUGGAUUUACUAGUAUUUAAAAUCCAGGCAUCUCAAUGUUUUGCCGGCAAUCAACGGUGCCCCGGUGUUUGAAAUUCAUUCCCAUUUCUUGCAUGGGACGUAAGCAUGCACCCAAGGACACGGAUUUAAUUUUUCAACCAAUUAAAAUGCACUGGAGCAUGUGCAUGUAGUUCAAAUUUGAAUUAUGCACAUAAAAUGCAAUGAAAACUAAGUUAAUGCUUAAAAAUUUCAAAACAAACACCGAAAAAUGACAAAAAUCACAGAAAACUCCUGUUGUUCUAUGUUGACACGAGAAAAAAAUUGAAAGCAAUAAGAGGCUAUAGAUAUCGUUUCGUCCCCAAAGGUGGGACGUUUCCCUACCAGAAACCAUCAUGCUUGUUGUGAGAAGCUCCGGUUUGUGAGAAGCAUAUACCCAAACCUGCCCCAAAUGGGACAAAUUUUGUACCACGGCAUGUUGAUGCCGCUCCAUGAUAGCAUGCCAUGUUUCAUGAAUUUCAGACGAGUUUUGGAUUUACUAGAAUUUAUAAACCAUGCAUCUCAAUGUUUUGCCGGCAAUCAACGGUGCCCCGGUGUUUGAAAUUCAUUCGCAUUUCUUGCAUGGGACCUAAGCAUGCACCCAAGGACACAGAUUUGAUUUUUCAACCAAUUUAUAUGCACUGGAGCAUGUGCAUGUAGUUCAAAUUUGAAUUAUGCACAUAAGAUGCAUCGAAAACUAAGUUAAUGCAUAAAAAUGUCAAAACGAACCCCGAAAAAUCACAAAAAUUCACACAACACUCCUGUUGUUCUAUGUUGCCAUGAGAAAAAAAUUUGAAAGCAAUAAGAGGGAAUGGAUAUCGUUUCGUCCCCAAAGGCGGGACAUUUCCCUACCGAAAACCAUCAUGCUUGUUGUGAGAAGCACCGGGUUGUGAGAAGCAUAUACCCAAACCUGCCCCAAAUGGGACAAAAUUUGUACCACGGCAUGUUGAUGCCGCUCCAUGAUAGCAUGCCAACUUUCAUGAGUUUCGGACGAGUUUUGAUUUACUAGAAUUUAUAAACCAGGCAUCUCAAUGUUUUGCCGGCAAUCAACGGUGCCCCGGUGUUUGAAAUUCAUUCCCAUUUCUUGCAUGGGACCUAAGCAUGCACCCAAGGACAUAGAUUUGAUUUUUCAACCAAUUUAUAUGCACUAGAGCAUGUGCAUGUAGUUCAAAUUUAAAUUAUGCACAUAAAAUGCAUCGAAAACUCAGUUAAUGCAUAAAAAUGUCCAAACGAAACCCGAAAAUUCACAAAAAUUCGCACAACACUCCUGUUGUUCUAUGUCGACACGAGACAAAAAGUUCAAAGCAAUAAGAGGCAAUGGAUAUCGUUUCGUCGCCAAAGGUGGGACAUUUCCCUACCAAAAACCAUCAUGCUUGUUGUGAGAAGCUCCGGUUUGUGAGAAGUAUACCCAAACCUGCCCCAAAUGGGACAAAAUUUGUACCACGACAUGUUGAUGCCGCUCCAUCAUAGCAUGCCAAGUUCCAUGAAUUUCAGACGAGUUUUGGAUUUACUAGAAUAUAAAAACCAGGCAUCUCAAUGUUUUGCCGGCAAUCAACGGUGCCCCGGUGUUUGAAAUUCAUUCCUAUUUCUUGCAUGGGACCUAAGCAUGCACCCAAGGACACAGAUUUGAUUUUUCACCCAAUUUAUAUGCACUGGAGCAUGUGCAUGUAGAUCAAAUCUGAAUUAUGCCAAUAAAAUGCAUCAAAAACUCAGUUAAUGCAUAAAAAUUUCCAAACGAACCAGCAAAAAUAAAAAAA